AUACGGAAGGUCCAGGCGUUAUCCGGAUUUAGUUGGGUUUAAAGGGAGCGUAGGCCGUCUGUUAAGCGUGUUGUGUAAAUGUAGAUGCUCAACAUCUGAAUUGCAGCGCGAACUGGCAGACUUGAGUGUGCGCAACGUAGGCGGAAUUCGUGGUGUAGCGGUGAAAUGCUUAGAUAUCACGAAGAACUCCGAUUGCGAAGGCAGCUUACGGGAGCACAACUGACGCUGAAGCUCGAAAGUGCGGGUAUC
rnacentral:rRNA from 1 species